rnacentral:rRNA from 1 species
GACGUAGGGCGCGAGCGUUGUCCGGAUUUAUUGGGCGUAAAGAGCUCGUAGGCGGCUUGUCGCGUCGACUGUGAAAUCCCGCGGCUCAACUGCGGGUCUGCAGUCGAUACGGGCAGACUAGAGUGCUGUAGGGGGAGACUGGAAUUCCUGGUGUAGCGGUGAAAUGCGCAGAUAUCAGGAGGAACACCGGUGGCGAAGGCGGGGUCUCUGGGGCAACAACUGACGCUGAGGAGCGAAAGCGUGGGGGAUCAAACAGG